ensembl:snRNA U6 U6 spliceosomal RNA
CUCCCAUGAGAAACGAACAAAGGAAAAAAAAAAACACAGAAGAUUAGCAUGGUCCUUGUGGAAGGAUGACAUGCACAUUUGUGAAGCAUUCCGUAUUUUA